rnacentral:tRNA from 1 species
UCCCUGGUGGCUCAGAUGGUAAAGCAUCUGCCUACAAUGCGGGAGACCCAGGUUCGAUCCCUGGGCUGGGAA